UUACAGUUUCAAAUUGUGGCAGUAAUCAGUCUACAAUGCAGUAAAUGAUCUCAUCAAAGUAUAACUAUCCAUACUCAGAAUACAUACUACCCAAGGAGUUGCAUGUAUGACCACACUCUGUGAUCAGGAAAUUGGUGCUCUUGCUGAUGUAAAAGGGGAAAAAGGAUUGCCUACAAUUCAGAGGCUCUCAAAACACCUUUCAAAAAUCAGCUAUGUUGUUUUGUGGUACCUGAUGAGGUCCCUACCCAUGAUAUUUCAACAUUUCUUCAAUCCAAAGACAACUUUGAAGUCACCAUUGUGUGUUAUUGUAAGCAUGCUUUCUAUCAACAAUCCACUUUCAAGAUACCAACAUUGAAAGAGAAUCAGGAGGUAGUGGGAUGCUGUAUUUUGUAACCUGAGGAACAGAAUACUAUUUAGGACAUGAGAUUCGGGGCAUACAUUCUGAUGGGCAAAUUUAUAGUGUGAAAAUUCAAAGUAAUUGGGUCCAGCACGAUGGUGGCGCAAGUGGUUAAGGUCCUUACCUUGCAAGCCCGGGAUCCCAUAUGGGCGCCGGUUCUAAUCCCG